rnacentral:tRNA from 1 species
GGCCUUGUAGUGAAGUUCACGGUGGGUUGCAAGCCCGCAAAUGUACAUGUUGUGUGCCGAGGCCU